GCGAAUGGCUCAUUAAAUCAGUUAUCGUUUAUUUGAUAGUACCUUACUACUUGGAUAACCGUGGUAAUUCUAGAGCUAAUACAUGCUAAAAAUCCCAACCUCUGGAAGGGAUGUAUUUAUUAGAUAAAAAACCAAUGCCUUCGGGCUUUUUGGUGAUUCAUGAUAACUUUACGAAUCGCAUGGCCUUGUGCCGGCGAUGGUUCAUUCAAAUUUCUGCCCUAUCAACUUUCGAUGGUAGGAUAGUGGCCUACCAUGGUUUCAACGGGUAACGGGGAAUUAGGGUUCGAUUCCGGAGAGGGAGCCUGAGAAACGGCUACCACAUCCAAGGAAGGCAGCAGGCGCGCAAAUUACCCAAUCCCGACACGGGGAGGUAGUGACAAGAAAUACUGAUACAGGGCCCAUUCGGGUCUUGUAAUUGGAAUGAGUACAAUUUAAACCCUUUAACGAGGAACAAUUGGAGGGCAAGUCUGGUGCCAGCAGCCGCGGUAAUUCCAGCUCCAAUAGCGUAUAUUAAAGUUGUUGCAGUUAAAAAGCUCGUAGUUGAACCUUGGGUCUGGGUAACCGGUCCGCUUCACCGUGUGCACUGGAAGCCCGGACCUUUCCUUCUGGAGAACCGCAUGCCCUUUAUUGGGUGUGUAGGGGAACCAGGACUUUUACUUUGAAAAAAUUAGAGUGCUCAAAGCAGGCAUUUGCUCGAAUACAUUAGCAUGGAAUAAUAAAAUAGGACGUGCGGUUCUAUUUUGUUGGUUUCUAGGACCGCCGUAAUGAUUAAUAGGGAUAGUCGGGGGCAUCCGUAUUCGAUUGUCAGAGGUGAAAUUCUUGGAUUUUUCGAAGACGAACUACUGCGAAAGCAUUUGCCAAGGAUGUUUUCAUUAAUCAGGAACGAAAGUUGAGGGAUCGAAAACGAUCAGAUACCGUUGUAGUCUCAACCAUAAACUAUGCCGACUAGGGAUCGGGCGAUGUUUUAUUCUGACUCGCUCG
rnacentral:rRNA from 1 species